GUACGAGCUCGAUCUUCGGAACGGGUUAGUGGCGCACGGGUGAGUAACACGUAGGUGACCUACCCCAGAGUGGGGGAUAACUUCUCGAAAGAGAGGCUAAUACCGCAUACACUCGGUCAUUCAUUUGGCCGAGCAAAGCUCCGGCGCUUUGGGACGGGCCUGCGUCCGAUUAGCUAGUUGGUAGGGUAAUGGCUUACCAAGGCUUUGAUCGGUAGCUGGUCUGAGAGGACGAUCAGCCACACUGGCACUGACACACGGGCCAGACUCCUACGGGAGGCAGCAGUGAGGAAUAUUGGGCAAUGGGCGAAAGCCUGACCCAGCAACGCCGCGUGAGGGAUGAAGGCCUUCGGGUUGUAAACCUCUUUUCUGGGAGAAGAGACAAGGACGGUAUCCCAGGAAUAAGUCUCGGCUAACUACGUGCCAGCAGCCGCGGUAAUACGUAGGAGGCAAGCGUUAUCCGGAUUCACUGGGCGUAAAGCGCACGCAGGCGGUUAUGUAAGUCGGACGUGAAAGCUCCUGGCUCAACUGGGAGAGGUCGUUCGAUACUGCAUGACUUGAGGUUGGGAGAGGGAAGCGGAAUUCCCGGUGUAGUGGUGGAAUGCGUAGAUAUCGGGAGGAACACCAGUGGCGAAAGCGGCUUCCUGGCCCAUACCUGACGCUCAGGUGCGAAAGCGUGGGGAGCGAACGGGAUUAGAUACCCCGGUAGUCCACGCUGUAAACGGUGCGAACUAGGUGUUGGUAGUAUUAAUCCUAUCAGUGCCGUAGCUAACGCGAUAAGUUCGCCGCCUGGGGACUACGGCCGCAAGGCUAAAACUCAAAGGAAUUGACGGGGGCCCGCACAAGCAGCGGAGCGUGUGGUUUAAUUCGAUGCAACACGAAGAA
rnacentral:rRNA from 1 species